CAGCAGAGCUAAUCUCUUCAAUUUAAUAAAAAUUAUGUGACUAUACCCGUCAAUAAUCUUACACUACAUUAACCGAGAUGCUGUAUUUUUGAAGAAAGUUGCUUUCUCCCUGUUCGUGCUUAAUCAGCCACCAAGCUGAGAGACUCUAAUCAAAUGGAAACACUGAAGCUCUUAGUUUUUAAUACCAAGUGAGAAUACACAUCACAAUUGUCAGAUCUUAAGUGCUUGAUGCGGUAGCUAAAAACAAAAUCUCAAAUACCUCAAUUCCUGCCUCUGGAGAGUGAAAGAACAUGAAUACGUUAGAGACACUGCAUGGGCUGAGGAAAUAUAAACAUUGUUCCUAUUAUGGAAAUGAUAGUAAGACAGAAAAUGUACCUUCUCUGGUCUCAGGAGAAACAUUUUUCAUCUACUAAAUCAACUCUUUCUGGAAUAUGUUUAAUGUAUUUUACUGGCAGAUAUUGCUGGCACAGAAUUAGAAUGAAGCAAAAUGAAACUCUUACCCCUAAACCCACAACAUGCAACCCUUCAACUUCUGUUGAGAUACUUUGUAACCAUCACAGCUGAGACCUUGAAGAACUGCAGCCUUGUCAUGGGAUCUUUCUGCUAAAAUAUUUUGAUUGGUGAAGCCCUGGUUUUAAAACUCAGAAGCCUUUGCCUGUUGGAAAGAACAUUCUCUUUCUCUUUUCUUUCUAAACAUUCCUCCUCCCCUCAGUUGUGACAUCACAGUUGGUCGCUGUGGAAAUGAUUGUCCUGUGACAAAGGAUUGUGACUUCAGGGGCGAAUAAAUAGAAGCAGCAGAUAUCUCUUGAGAAACAAAGAUUCUGUGAUUAAACAAAUGCCCUUGGUAAUGAAGGGCAGGGCAGGCACUUCACCCCAGGGAAAAAGUCUGUAAGAUGGCAAGAUUCUGAAUAAUUUCCAAAUGUGACACUUCUCAAAUAUUUCCAGAUUUAUCUUCGUGAACUUUUAAGGGGGUAGAAACGGAGAAGCAAAAAACAGCAGGGGAUUCAGCUAUAACUCACACCUUUUAUAUCGUGGAGCUCCCCAAACGAAAAGUUUAUCCGGACAUAUCUAAGCAGAGGUCUUGAUGUCUGCUUUUGAUCUAAACUGAAAUUUGCUCAGGUUCAACUUGGAGCUGUCGUGACAUCUUCAUUAUUGACAACCAUUUAUCAGUGAAGAUUGACUGGUUAGAUUUGAACCACAGAUGGCAAACCUCUCUGUUGAUAAACAGAUCUACAAAAAUCA